CAGUCGCACGGGAAUACGUAGGGUGCAAGCGUUAAUCGGAAUUACUGGGCGUAAAGCGUGCGCAGGCGGUUUGUUAAGACAGAUGUGAAAUCCCCGGGCUCAACCUGGGAACUGCAUUUGUGACUGGCAAGCUAGAGUGUGGCAGAGGGGGGUGGAAUUCCGCGUGUAGCAGUGAAAUGCGCAGAUAUGCGGAGGAACACCGAUGGCGAAGGCAGCCCCCUGGGCCAACACUGACGCUCAUGCACGAAAGCGUGGGGAGCAAACAGGAUUAGAUACCCGAGUAGUCCCUGUCUCUUAUACA
rnacentral:rRNA from 1 species